CAGGUAGCUGAGAUGAUCAAACAUCGCUUUCUGGUUUUGACGGCUGAUUCGACAGAAGUAACAAAGAAAACGACAACAGUUGGCCACCAUUUUAGGAAAGCGGAGAUGAGCCAUCGCGGCGACGCGCAGCCUUCGCAGAAGCUGUGACCACCGAAUGCGGCGCCUCAGCCUGUGUGACUGAUUUUCUGUGCCGUGGUGCCAUAUAAGGAGGAGGUGGAGCCGAGCCAUGCUGAUUUUAGGGGUUGAUCAUCUUGUUCUUCAGGACAGACACGUUUUCAACUAAUGACAUCAGUCGACUUCGAAUGGUAAAAUUACUCUCCCCAUCUAAAGCGCCAUCUUCAGUUAACUCUAUACCCGAGGGAACAGAGAUAUUUCAGUUAGUAAAUAUAGAGGUUGCACAGACCAGUCAAUAUAACGAUUAGUCUACAAUCCUUUGCGUGCUAUGUCGACUAAUCACUUCAUUUCCUUUCGGCUUGUCAAGUUAGGGGUUUCCACAGUGUGUCAUCUUUUUCCAUGUAACCCUAUCUCCUGCAUCUUCCUCUCAAACACCAAGUGCCUUCAUGUCUUCCAUCACAACAUUCAUCAAGCUUCUCUUUGGUCUUCCUCUCGUUCUUUUUUCCUGGCAGUUCCAUCCUCAGUAUCCUUAUACGUGUUUUUUUUUCUACCCUUCUUCUUCUCGUACCAAUACACUCCCUCUGUUGGCUCUGGACAUGUCCAAACCAUCAAAGUCUGUCUCUCGAACCUUCUAUCUCCAAAACAUCAAACAUUGCCAGUCCCUCUAAUGACUAAUCCAAUCUACCUGCUCAUUCCGAGAGAUAACCUCAAAAUCUUUAUUUCUACCACCUCCAGUUAUGAUGACUGUUGUCUCUUUAGUGCCACCGUAUCUAAUCCGUACAUCAUUGCUGGCCUCACCACUGUUGUAUAAACUUUGCCCUUCAUCCGAGCAGAGACUUUUCUGUCACUAGACACACCAGACACCUUCCGCCAGCUGUUUCAACCUGCUUCGACCAGUUUCUUCAGUUCCUUACCACAGUCACCACUGCUAUGGAUUAUUGACCCCAAGUCGUCCACCCUUGCUAUGCUUUCUCCCUGGAGCUUCAGUCUUCCUCCACCACCCCUCUCAUUCACGCACAUAUAUUUUGAUUUGCGUUGACUAAUCUACAUUCCUCUCCUUUCCAGUGGAUGCCUCCAUCUUUCCAAUUAAUCCUCCACCUGCUCCCUGCUUUCACUGCAGAUCACAAUAUCAUCUGCGAACAUCAUGGUCCAAGGGAAUUCCAGUCUAACCUCAUCUGUCAACCUAUCCAUUACCACAGCAAACAGGAAGGAGCCAGAGCUGACGCUCUCUGAGGAUCCCUGAUGAAGUCCCACUUCCACCUUAAAUUCUUCUGUCACACCAACGGCACACGUCAUCACUGUUCUGGUGCCCUCAUAUAUGUCCUGUACUAUUCUGACAUUUCUCCGCCAUGCCAGACGUACGCAUGCAGUACCACAGGUCCUCUCUUGGUACUCUGUCACAGGCUUUCUCUAGAUCCAUAAAGAUACAAUGUAGAGCUUUCUGACCUUCUCUUUAUUUUUCCACUAGCAUCCUCAAGGUCUGUAGUACUUUUUCUAGGCAUGAAACCAUACUGCUACUCACAAAUAUUUACUUCUGUCCUGAGUCUAACCUCCACUACUCCUUCCUAUUGUUUAACUUUAUUCUUCUAUAGUUCCCACAACUCUGCAAACUGCCUUUGUUCUUAAAAAUGAACAAGCACACUUUCCCUGCAUUCUUCAGGCAUCUUCUUGCCCACUAGUUUUCAGUUGAAUAAAUUUGUCAGAAACUCCACAGCCACCUUUCCAAAUUUCUACCAUACCUCCACAGGUAUGUUAGUGCCUUUCUGACUUCCUUCUUACUAAUCAAUGCCACUUCAUGGUCCUUCACAAUUGGCUCUUUUACUCUUCCAUCUCUCUCAUUUUCUUCAUUCAUCCCACUUCUCAAAUUAUUCUUUCCAUCUACUCUGUUCACUCCUGGAACCAGUCAACAGAUUUCCAUCACUAGCCUCAAUCACCCUUUAUCUGCUGCACAGCUUUCCCAUUUCUAUCCCUCUGUUUGGACAGCCUGUAGAGAUAAUUUUCUCCGUCUUUUGUGUCCAACCUGGUGUACAUGUUGUUGUAUGCUUCUUGUUUAGCCUUCACCACCUCGACCUUUUCCCUAUGUUGCAUCUCAAUGUAUUCCUUCCAGUCUAUCGAGAGCUUGUCUCACCUCUUUCUCAAAGGCCAUACAACAUUUUUCCUUUCUCAGCUUCCAUGACAUGGUUCUCUGCUCUACCUUUCUCUUCUUAUUUUCCCUCCACUACCAGAGUCAUCCUACACACCACCAUCGUAUGCUGUCGAGCUACACUGUCCCCUACUACUACCUUACAGUCAGUAACCUCCUUCAGAUGACAUCAUCUGCAAUCAACCCACAUUGAUGCUCUUUUGUUCUCAUCUGUAUCUUCUGUGUUAAUUAAGUUUAUGAACUGUCCAUUUUUUAGUGAAUAUAAAGGAUUGCAAAACAAUCCCUCCUCGUGCUUUUUAACUACAUUAUUGAUUGAUUCAAUCUCAACUAUAUCAGGAGAGAUUAGUCCACAUUAAAAUGAUUUUCAACACAGUCAGGGGAAAAAAAAAACCCAUGCAUGUCAUGUCAAAGUAAUACAAACCCCCUAGUAACUAUAC